rnacentral:lncRNA from 1 species
GGUGUGCUAUUUUAAUUUCCGCUAUUGUGUUUUGUUUGCAUCGAGAUUUUUCGAGUUUGCCGGAUUUACACCUAUUCACCCCCCUCUAGGUGUUACUUACCUUUUAGAUCCUUGGGAUCCAUAUCUUACACAAUCAAUUUGACCUCAUGCUGAAAUUCUGAUUUUUAAUCCAAUAUCCACCUCUUUUGGCUGAGAAGUAUUGGUGUGAUUUGGAUGUUUUCAUGGUAGAUGAGCCAUGGAUUGACCUUUGAACUCUCCCUCACAGCCCUCUCCUUGUUGCUCUCUUGCUGGUUGGUUUUCUGCGCAGCACGCAAUCAACGACAACUAUAGCAAUCAGCCGAUAGCAGCAACAUCAGCAGGCUGGCAGCAUUGAGCUGAGAACUAGGAGCUAAAUUGGAUAUGAUUUGAUGCUCCAUUUUCGAAAUUGAGCAUUUGUAUUCGUGUGGGGAGAAAUUGAGAAUCAUCCUGUACCUUCCUUCAGCUGGAUUUGCAGUUUUGAUGUUGAUCGAAGGUGAUGCAUAAUGCUGAUUUUUGGCCCAACUUCAGAUUUUAAUAACAUUCAUUUGAAUUUCUUCUAGGAACUGAGUUUGGAAGGAUUAGAAGCGAUAUUAACUUCAUUUUCUUGUGGUUAGAAUCUUGUUUGGACAAUUUGGAGGUAAAUGAGUAAGAGUUUCAGUUUUCUUUGAGGUCGAAAACCGAAAAACUGAUUUUUGGCAUUCUUCGCAUUCUUGACUUUUAAUCACUUUUGCAUGGUAAUUUCGUAGUGAUCAAGUGAGUUUUCUAGUGGAUUAAAAUCUUGGGAACACACUUUAGAGUAUGUUGGUGUUCCUCAUUGCCUUGGUUACCCCGUGGAUUAGCUGAAAUAGCCACAGUAGCCUCACGAACUCAGCUACAGCAGCAGCCUUGGAGCAGGGACAGCAGCAAGUAUUUUUAGAAAUUAGUUUUGAUUUGGACCUUAUUGCUGGCGAUUUGAUGCUUCUAGGUGUUUCUGAAGUAUAGAGGAACAUGCGAAUUAAGUUUCAACUAUUGGGUUGAGGUGAGUAAUGCUAAAUUUUAGUUUUUCGAAGU